ACAGGGAUAGCCUCGGGAAACCGGGAUUAAAACCUGAUGAAACUAAUCAAAUCACAUGAUUAAGAAAGUUAAAACUCCGGUGGUAAAAGAUGGACUCGCGUCCCAUUAGCUAGUUGGUGAAGGUAACGGCCCACCAAGGCAACGAUGGGUAGCCGGCCUGAGAGGGUGAACGGCCACAUUGGAACUGAGACACGGCCCAGACUCCUACGGGAGGCAGCAGCA
rnacentral:rRNA from 1 species